rnacentral:rRNA from 1 species
UACGUAGGGGGCAAGCGUUAUCCGGAAUUAUUGGGCGUAAAGAGUACGUAGGUGGCAACCUAAGCGCAGGGUUUAAGGCAAUGGCUCAACCAUUGUUCGCCCUGCGAACUGGGAUGCUUGAGUGCAGGAGAGGAAGGCGGAAUUCCUAGUGUAGCGGUGAAAUGCGUAGAUAUUAGGAGGAACACCAGUGGCGAAGGCGGCUUUCUGGACUGUAACUGACACUGAGGUACGAAAGCGUGGGGAGCAAACAGG